GGCACGACGUUCACUAUUCCACAAAGAAAGUUAACGGGCUUGAAUUUAAAAACCCAAAUGAGGCCCAAUAACACUGAUUUAGAAAAACCAACAACACAAUGCACGUCGUUUUACAUGUAAACGUCCGACGUGGUGUGUCUCGUAAACAGCGAAUGGUUUUGUUUGGUGGUAAAGGGAUAAGAUCACGUGAUCGGAAAGUCAGAAGAGCCCAUCAUCUUCUUCUUCUUCCUCUUGCCUCAAAAAGACAAUUCUAUCGACUUCCUAUUACUCUUUCUGAUUUCUGAUUUAUUUUUCCCUUUAAAUUUUGGUUUUGUUUUCUUUGAAAAAGACAUAAUUUUUGCUGGAAAUAUCAAAUUGGGUCCGUCGCCACGCCACGCGCCGAGCUCGCAAUACAUCGAAAAGCAACGAUCUAGGAGGACGAUCUUUAAAAUCCUACUUGGCCACAAAAAAAUUCUAUUUUUAUUAUUGUCCGUGUUUAAUUUUUGAUUCAGAAAGGAAAAUUAAUAUUAAGCACUAGUUGUGCAAAAUCACAAAAAAAAAAAGAAGUGGUUUUUGUGGAUGGAAACAAUUUCUGGCACACGUAUAUCAAUCCAAAUCGACGACCAUAUACAUAUGUUUUGGAUUCAGUGAGAAAUAGAAAUUGAUUUUGGUUUCUUAAUCAUGGUGGAGCCUUAUGAGACACGUAACAACGGUAAAGCUUCCCAGAUGGUCAGAUAUCAGAGUUAUAACCAUCACAAUUCCAGAUUACCAUCACCAUUAUCAUCGCCAUUACUUGAUUUGAGAGUGUUCUAUGUCAGAAUCAGCAAUUUCAAGGUGGAUCAUUCAACACCUGAGGUCCUCACCAUUACUCAUAUUCCUUUGGAUCCAGAUUCACUUCUGGAGAUAAAUGGUGUUAGAAUGAGCAUGUACUCUGAAGGAGUUUCUUCUCAGCUAAGGCGAGAUCGUGUUGAUAAGAAAUCCGAAGUAGCUACUUUUAUCAGCACAGACAAUAUCAGGUUAUCUGGUAGCGUGAAGUUUGAGGUUUAUGACAAAGAUGAGCUGGUUUUGUCUGGAACUCUUGAGAUGUCUGGUAGUAAUGGUUUCACUGGUGAACCUAAGUAUAGCGUGAAGCGGUGGAACAUGAAAUGUGAAGCUGAGAUCACUGCAGGGUCUGGUUUCUUGAAGGAGAAACAUAUUGGUGGGUCGGAGUUAUCAUCUCCAUUGCCAACUAUUGAAGUCUAUGUCACUGGCUGCUUUUCAGGAACUCCCAUCAUCUUAACCAAGACUCUUCAGCUUGGUUUCAGAAAGAAGCACGGUAGAGUGGCUGCAUUAGAUUCGAUUCCGGAGUAUGAAGCUGAUGAGCCUCAUAAAGGAAACUCAUCUGAGCUUGAUUAUCAGGUAACUUUUUAAUUGCUUGCUACUUCACUGUUUCAAGAUUAUUAUUAUGCUUCCUAAUAGUUUUAUAUUGAUUGGUUUACAACUUCAACACAUUGAAUGCUUUCCCUAAGAUAUUAGUCUUCUUGGUCAUGAUAUUGGCUGUAUGAGCAUUAAGUUUUUCAUGGUUUUGAGAUUUCAUAGUUUGAGACAUGUUUCUUGGUACUCUUAGAAAGAUAAUUCCUUUAGAUAUUGAAGUGGACCAGUUUCGUUAUAAAUGAUCAUGUGAGGUAUGGGGCCUGACACAUUUUGUAAGUCAAUAGAUAUUUCUCUCCCCUCUCUAUCUCUCACUUUCACUCACACACACUCUCUCUCUCUCUCCCAUUUGCCUCUUGUCUCGUGAUCUUAAAAUCUAAACUCUUAUCCUCUUGUCUGCUACAAUCAGUUUUUUAUGUGACCCCGUAAUUGAAAUAUCGUGGUUUUCACAUGUAACAGAAUAUGGAAGUUAUAAACAAGAAUAUGAAGGCGAACACAGCGACAUGUAUUGGAAUAGAGAGUACGCAGAUGGUGAAGAUGGUGAGAUGUCGUGGUUCAACGCCGGUGUGAGGGUUGGUGUGGGAAUUGGUCUUGGUGUCUGUGUAGGUCUUGGCAUUGGGGUUGGCCUUCUAGUGCGUACCUAUCAAUCAACCACCAGAAACUUCAGAAGGAGGAUUAUCUAGUUUCAUCUAAAUUGUCUCAAGCUUCUUCUACUCUCUCUCUCUCUCCCUCUAACUCCAAUCCGUUGCACAUCACUUUUGACUGCAGAACUCUAAGCUAUAUAGUCUAAGCUAAUACUGCUGUGUAGUAUAAUUUUUCUUUAUGUAUCUUUUUUUCUCUUUGUGCCUUCAAAUUUUGGAAGAAAUCAUUCUCCCUUC